AGAGUUUGAUCAUGGCUCAGAAUGAACGCUGGCGGCGUGCUUAACACAUGCAAGUCGCACGAGAACGCUUCAGCUUGCUGAAGCUAGUAAAGUGGCGUACGGGUGAGUAACGCGUGGGUAAUCUAUCUCUGAAUUGGGGAUAACAUUGCGAAAGCGAUGCUAAUACCGGAUAACAUCCAUUAGACCUCGGUUUUUUGGAUCAAAGGUGGCCUCUACAUGUAAGCUACUGUUUGGAGACGAGCCCGCGUACCAUUAGCUUGUUGGUAGGGUAACGGCUUACCAAGGCAACGAUGGUUAGCUGGUCUGAGAGGAUGAUCAGCCACACUGGAACUGACACACGGUCCAGACUCCUACGGGAGGCAGCAGUGAGGAAUUUUGCGCAAUGGGGGAAACCCUGACGCAGCAACGCCGCGUGAGUGAUGAAGGCUUUCGGGUCGUAAAGCUCUGUCAAGUGGGAAGAACCCGCGCCGCACAAAUAGUGCGGUGCGCUGACGGUACCACUGAAGGAAGCACCGGCUAACUCCGUGCCAGCAGCCGCGGUAAUACGGGGGGUGCAAGCGUUAUUCGGAAUCAUUGGGCGUAAAGAGCGCGUAGGCGGUCUUCUAUGUCAGGUGUGAAAGCCCGGGGCUCAACCCCCGGAAGUGCACUUGAAACUGGGAGACUUGAGUAUGGGAGAGGGAAGUGGAAUUCCUGGUGUAGCGGUGGAAUGCGCAGAUAUCAGGAGGAACACCGAUGGCGAAGGCAGGUCUCUGGGCCACUACUGACGCUGAGAAGCGAAAGCAUGGGGAGCGAACAGGAUUAGAUACCCUAGUAGUCC
rnacentral:rRNA from 1 species